rnacentral:lncRNA from 1 species
GGGGCGCCUGUGGGAGCCGUGGAGGGAACUUUCCCAGUCCCCGAGGCGGAUCCGGUGUUGCAUCCUUGGAGCGAGCUGAGAGCUCGAGAACCUGCUAAGGCCAUCAAACCUAUUGAUCGGAAGUCAGUCCAUCAGAUUUGCUCUGGGCCGGUGGUACCGAGUCUAAGCACUGCGGUGAAGGAGUUAGUAGAAAACAGUCUGGAUGCUGGUGCCACUAAUAUUGAUCUAAAGCUUAAGGACUAUGGAGUGGAUCUCAUUGAAGUUUCAGGCAAUGGAUGUGGGGUAGAAGAAGAAAACUUCGAAGGCUUAACUCUGAAACAUCACACAUCUAAGAUUCAAGAGUUUGCCGACCUACCUCAGGUUGAAACUUUUGGCUUUCGGGGGGAAGCUCUGAGCUCACUUUGUGCACUGAGUGAUGUCACCAUUUCUACCUGCCAUGUAUCGGCGAAGGUUGGGACUCGACUGGUGUUUGAUCACUAUGGGAAAAUCAUCCAGAAAACCCCCUACCCCCACCCCAGAGGGAUGACAGUCAGUGUGAAGCAGUUAUUUUCUACGCUACCUGUGCACCAUAAAGAAUUUCAAAGGAAUAUUAAGAAGUUUUAUGAAAACAAAACAACAGGCCUAAAUGUGUAUAGUAUAAAGACUGGAAGAGUCAGCACUUCCAUGUUCUCAGCGGUUAUCCUUGGAUGUGAGAUCUCAUGCACUUUUUGCUCUCUUCUUUGUGCCUUUCCAUUUUGCAUGCAUAUUUCUUAUAAUCUAAAAAGUUACUUAAACAUAUGCAGCUAAAAACUUUUUUUACUUGUAAAGCAUUCGGUGCUAAUUUUAACUUUUUUUUUUUAGACGGAGUCUUCUCACUCUGUCGCCCAGGCUGGAGUGCAGUGGUGUGAUCUUGGCUCACUGCAACCUCCGCCUCCUGGGUUCAAGUGAUUCUCCUACCUCAGCCUCCCGAGUAGCUGGGAUUAUAGGUGUGUGUCACCACACCCAGCUAAUUUUUGUAUUUUUAGUAGAGAUGGGGUUUCACCAUGUUGGCCAGGCUGGUCUUGCACCCCUGACCUCAAGUGAUCUGCCCACCUCAGCCUCCCAAAGUGCUGGGAUUACAGGCGUGAGCCACCACGCCCGGCUUUUUUUUUAAAGCUUUUUUGUAAGUCAGCCAGCAAGAACACAGGAGGAAGUACUCAAAUCUCCCUUACACAGCUCGGGGCUAUGUCAGGUUUUAUAAGCGUAGGGUAAUGAGGUGUGAUUUGAUUGGAUCUUGCAAUAAAGUAAUGCUGGGAGAUGUGA